rnacentral:rRNA from 1 species
GACGAACGCUGGCGGCGUGCUUAACACAUGCAAGUCGAACGGAAAGGCCCUGCUUUUGUGGGGUGCCCGAGUGGCGAACGGGUGAGUAACACGUGAGUACCUUGCCUUUGACUUUGGGAUAACUUCAGGAAACUGGGGCUAAUACCGGAUAGGAGCUCUUGCUGCAGGGUGGGGGUUGGAAAGUUUCGGCGGUUGGGGAUGGACUCGCGGCUUAUCAGCUUGUUGGUGGGGUAGUGGCUUACCAAGGCUUUGACGGGUAGCCGGCCUGAGAGGGUGACCGGCCACAUUGGGACUGAGAUACGGCCCAGACUCCUACGGGAGGCAGCAGUGGGGAAUAUUGCACAAUGGGCGGAAGCCUGAUGCAGCAACGCCGCGUGCGGGAUGACGGCCUUCGGGUUGUAAACCGCUUUCGCCUGUGACGAAGCGUGAGUGACGGUAAUGGGUAAAGAAGCACCGGCUAACUACGUG